UUUCAUCGAUUGAAGCUUGGUCCGUUUCUUUCUUCCUUCUUCGAUCAGUGUUCUCUUGUUUUUUUUUUUUGCCUUUCCCUCUGUUGGACUGUCGGUUAGUGUCCUCCUUUUUUAUUUUUGGUUUACUUGACAUUACUUCGCAUCAAUCAAGUGUUGCAUGUGGGUAAUUUAUUUUAAUUUAUAGUUUUAUGUGCAGGAUUUUGAGAUUUUCACUUAAGGUUUGAAAUUUGCUUUUAGAAUUUAUAUUGAACUUUUAUUUCGAAGAUGGAACAGACAACUGAAAGUUUUGAAGCUCAGACAUGAAUAUUGACGAUUGAGUCAGAUAUUUCUGUACCGGUAGAGACUAGAUUGUCGUAAAAAAUCUCUCGACCAUUUCCAGUUUUAAGCUUCUUCUUCACUUUGGUCAAAUAUUGUAAGGUCUUCGCUAUUGGGUGCGGUUAUUUCUCACCAGUUUGUCUUUAACCUCUACUGUAUUUCUGAGUUUCGCGAGAGUUUUUCUUCUUAUAGUUAUUUUUUGGUACUUCUCCUUUUGUAAUAUUAAUUUCUUUUACAGUAUUGAUGUUCUUUAUGGAUGUCAUCUUAGCUUAGUGUUGGACUCAAAAUGAUCAAGAAAUAGUCAUUUAAUACUCUUGUUUGUCA